rnacentral:rRNA from 1 species
UACAGAGAUGGCAACCGUUGUUCGGAAUCACUGGGCUUAAAGAGCACGUAGGCGGAGCGUCAAGUCGGCUGUGAAAGACCACGGCUUACCCGUGGGAGGCCAGCCGAAACUGGCGUUCUGGAGGUCAGUAGGGGAGAGUGGAAUUCCUGGUGGAGCGGUGAAAUGCGUUGAUAUCAGGAGGAACGUCGGAGGCGAAGGCGACUCUCUGGACUGAAGCUGACGCUGAGGUGCGAAAGCCAGGGGAGCAAACGGG